CAGUGCCGCCCCGCCAGCGCCCCGCAGCACUGGGGCUCCGCGCACAGCUGUGCCAGGGAGGUGGCUCAGUUUCCUGCAAACCCUUGGGAAAUGCUACGGUCCUGAGUGGGUUUAGGGUGAAGGGAGGUCGCAGGCUGUCCUUGGCCAGACCGUUCCUGCCACCUUGGGUGUUUGAUCCAGCUCUAAAGCAGCAGCACAGAGCCAGCAGAGUCACCUCCUAGCUGCUCGCACUCUCUUCUGCCCCUGCAGUUCUGCAGGAGUCCCAGACCGCAAAGCCUGGGGUUGUCUCUGGAUUCACACUUUCUCCCUCCUCCAAAUAAGCCUCAUCUGCAGCAGCUCUAAAUCUCUGCAAGGAAGGCAACGGCAGAGCUUGGAGCCUCAGUCAGGGAGUCUGCCCACCCAUGGGAAAGCACAGCAGCAGAGACUGCUCUUGCAGGUAGAGGAGAGCUUUUUUUCUUUCCCAUCUUAAGAAGGCACAAAAUCUAUUGCACCCCCCCUAUCCCCCCAAGGGAGAGACCAGCUUCUCCUCCUCUGCCUCGAGGUCGAGAGAAAUGCAAAGAGCACUUACCAUAUUAGUGGCAGAAUGAAAUGCAGGUCUUGGGAGCACGUUUGUGUUAAAGCCCCAGAGAGGUUUAAAUGGCUCUGAAGGAGGGGGAGAGGGGGGAGACCGGGGAGGCGAGUUUAAUCUAAAGGAGCUCCCAGUGACGCCUCAGAGCUCUCCUGAAACCCAGCAAUCUGAUUUGGUGUAAAGCUGUCAAACUUGUGACGUGAAUAAACAGCAAACUUGCUGAAAUCAAAGUCAUUCUGGUCCCACAAAUCAACACAAGGAAGGAGGGAAAAGAAAAGGAGGGAGAAGGGAAAAAAAAAAGUAUCCAUGCAGUUCAGGGCAGCAGUGAACUGGUGUGUCUGAGUUUCACUCCAGGAAAUGAGCAGGCAUCCAGGGAAGCAUCCCACAUGUUCAGAAUAAGGCUGCUGGUGUUGCUGAUGCCAGCCCCUCCUGCAUGGCCGUGUCAUCUGCUGGCUAACAAGGAAAAGAAGCUGUGUGACACACGCCCAACACGCGCCAAGGCCCAGCUCAGCUCCUUGGCCGCGGCUGAGCUGCAGGGCGCAGUGCAGCAGGGCGCUGUGGCGCUGGCGGCUCCCUCACACCGGGGGCAUCCCAGGCAGGGGUCAAGAGGAAGAUGCCAGACUCUUUUCAGUCGUGCCCAGUGACAGGACAAGGAGCAAUGGCCAUAAACUGGAACACAAGAAACUUCACCUCAACAUUUGGAAGAACUUCUUUCUAUUGAGGGUGUCAGGCACUGGAACAGCUGCCCAGGGAGGGUGCAGAGUCUCCCCUCUCUGGAGACAUAUCAAACCCACUGGAAGCCCGUGGUCCCUCCGUUGCUGGCUCUGCAUAGCUGCUGUGGUGUUGGCUGCGGGGCUGAUGGUGCUCCGCUUCCUGAGCUCCAGGAAUUCAGGUCAGCUCACCAAGGUUGACAUGCUGGAGAGUGAAAGGUGAUAUGUGGAUAAAUGACCACCAAAUCAGAGGCCUGGUUUGUGGAGAUACCCUUUGGGUGACUAUCAGAGAAAGAAAAAUGCUGUUGUUGUAGGAGAGAAACACCUAAUUGUGGUAACUGGUGCAUGGAUGGUCACACACAGUGAUGGAAGAGGUUCAAGUCACAGUAGCAAUCACACAUUGAUGUGUGUGUAAAACAAAACUAAGUAACAAUCAUCUGCUAAUUUUCCUGUUCAUCUGGAGCUCUUAAUGCUCAUUGCAGCUAAUGAUGGACCUCUUUAAUUGGAAAUAAAGUUUCGGGGCAAAAUGUUUAUCAAGACUACAAUAUUGCUUCAGUGGAGAUUUUACUUUGAAUGUUAUAGCAGCUUUUCUGAAGUUCUGGGAACACACUUAAGUGUAUUGCAGUGUUAAUUCUUAUCUGUUCUUUGUACCUGUAUUUUCUUUUGUAAUUUCUAUGAUGUUUCUUUUUAAAUGUUAGUGAUGAAGCUAAUCCUUCAGAUUAAAACUAAAAAAAACCACAAAUAUUUUUUCUGAUUUAUCCCAGUUUUAUGUCGAAAUGGCCUUAAAAUUGCAUUUGCAUCAGUGAACUGGCUUUCAGAAGGGAUGGUACACAGAGGAAAAAUAGUAUUUGCAUAUAGUUUAAUUCAAGUUUUAUAUCAGAUUUACUACAGUUAUGUGUUGCUUUGCAUGCUGACACCUGCACAGGUGUCCAAACCGACCCCAAAUCCUCUUCACUUAUCCUGCCGUAUUACUGCUACACUGCUUCUUGUCCCUAGUAAGAGUGGCUAAGUGAAUCAGUGACAAAACAGAGGCUCACUUAUAACUCAGGAUAUUAACCUGUAGACAGGUAUACACAGGUAUCUGGCACUUGCAUGAAUCUCUGGUUGUGUUUGUGAACCAAAGGUGUGAGAAAUUAAACCUGAUGAGACAGAUUUGCAAAAAUGCUUUUGAAAGGGAAUUUAUACACAUACAGGUUCUGGCUGUUUCUCUGAUCAGUCUUCCUCCUUGAACGCAGGACUAAAAGGCACUUCCCAAAUCCAGUCCCCUGCUGUUGAGACAUUCUUAAACUUUUCAAUCUCCCUCUUAAAACUAAUUAGGUUAUUUUCCUUAUGUUAUUCCCACUGUGAGGCUACACCGUACUCUGAGCUCUGAUGGCUGGACACUUUCUAGUUUCCAGGCUGCAUGUAUUCAUAGCAGGUAUAAUCCCUUUUGUCCUUGUGCCAAACUCUUGCUCUAGUUUAGACACUUCAUCUCCCUCUCUAGUGUUUAGCCUUGACGUCUUUGCAAAGCGCUGUCACACAUUGUCUUUUCCUUUGCUUUUUAGGUUGAAGAAGGCAGGUUCUUUUACAAUCUUUCCUAACCUUAGGAACCUAUCUCAGAAAAUAUUCCAGCUGAUAUUAACCUGUUUUUCACAUGGAUGACCAAACUUACUCAGGUUGCUCUGUAACACACCACUGUUUUAGAGAAAAGCAUGGGGAAAUCUUCCCUUUUUAUAUCUUUUCGGUAUAUUUUAGGGCAGUCUUUACCUUUUUCAUCACUCUCUCACACCGGUUGCUAGUCUUGAAAUCGCUGUCAGCUGGCAGUGAAUGCACCUGUGGACUUUAAUUCCUGUAAAAUGUAGUUGAGUCAAACUGAGUUUUCAGUGCUGUAGGGCUCCAGCUCUCCCGUGUUGAUACUUUUUGGUACUGUGGAGUUUCACAAGUAUUUAGAAUAAAGAAAAAAAGAUGACUACAAGAUGGAAAAACUGCAAAACAUCUUUCUGGGUUUACCUGCAAUUUCUCACAACGAGGGUGGUGAGUUAGUGAGUAGAGGAUAUCCUACCUGCGUGCAGUUCUUGUGGUGGCUUCAGUGCUUUCUUUUGGUUUGAAAUGAAGGCACAUGGUAUAUGUAAGGUGUAUGAUUUUCUUCCUGUAUUUUCUGAUACAUGCUGGAUGAGAUUUACCCUUGAUAGAAUCUUAGUAGGAAAUUUGUUAUUACUAGUGCUUAAUUGUUUGUGGUCAGUAAAGGGGUUUUUUUGUGAAGAAAGUAAGUUUUAUUUAGCUGCUGUAUGUAAAAUAAUAACUUUUUAGUGAUCUAGAAGCUUAACUUGAGUAAUGGAUAUCAUCUGAUGGAAUUUAUCUGAAAAAGUUGAAGGUUUUCUGCAUAGAUAAUGGUACUUUUAUAUAUAGGAAAUCCUUAGAGGUGAAGUGUGUAGGGAUCAUGUUUGAAUAACAUCUGUGCCAUGUGUUGUGUCCACAAGUGCUCACCCAUCUGUUAUCACCCCUGCUAACAGCAAAUCUUUGGUCUGUCCUGUGGAUGUAGCUGUUGUUUCACAAGGGACAGCAGAUCCCUGCUUUGAAGAGAGAUCUGUUAGGUAAAGCACAGAUAACUGCUCGUGAAGAUCUAGGACUAGAAGAGACUUGCUCUUGUGAUGCUGGUACUGCCUUUUACUCUUCAAAAUUUCACUCUAAUUUCCAAUCUGAACUUGUUCAUGGACAUUUGUGUCUUUAGCUUUUUCUGUUUUGUCGUGUGUUCCAUUUGAUGUGUUAUAAACAACAAUCUAUGCUGUGUUUGUCUGGCUUUGUGUAAUUGCUUUUCUAUUUUGCCAGCCAUCUGAGAAGCAGUCCUUUAGAUUGCACUUGAUUACACCCCAGGGUACAGGAAUGAGGUGUCCCUGAAAUAGAAAGGCAAAUGGAAAAAGUGCAAGUUUUAUGAGCACAGAGUAUGUUUACAGAAUGUCAUUGAGAGUGAGAGCAUUUUGAUAAAUAAAUAUAAUUCUGGGGUUUUCUUUUGAAUAUUUUCAUUAAUUCUACUGGGUAUAUUGACCUUUUGUCAGAGGAGGACAUUAAUUGCACUGGUUUAGCAUCCUAUGGACAUAUUCUCUCAGAACUCAUCCCAGGCUCUAUUUGUUGCCUGUUUCUUGCCCUUUCCUUUGGCUGGAAUUGUAUCAUAAAAAAACUCAGAGGUCCUAAUCUCAGGGCUGGCUUUUGACGAGCUGAUGGGUUCUCCUGGAAACUGCAGGUGGGAAUUUGUUACUAUUGCCACUCUGAUUGGUGUAUGGAAGAGAAAUACGUUCUACUCCUGGGUCUGAUGUUGUACAUUUUUAUAGCAGCACUUAAAUGCCUGAAACGUCAGAACAUCACCCAUUUACGGUAUAGACCCAAGUCAGUCUCUGCAUCUUUGUUUCAGUUCCUCAUCUAUCAAUCGGGACUGGUGUGUCUGCUUAGAUUUCACACAUUUCUGUAAUAAAAAAUGU